CCUUUGUCCUNUNCAAAUAAGCGGAGGAAAAGAAACUAACAAGGAUUCCCUUAGUAACGGCGAGUGAAGCGGGAAGAGCUCAAAUUUGAAAUCUUCAAGGUUUUACCUUGACGAAUUGUAGUUUAAAGAAGUGUUUUCUGUUGAAGUUUUGGUAAAAGUUCUUUGGAAUAGGACAUCAUAGAGGGUGAGAAUCCCGUAUUUGACCAUUAUUUUCAGCUGUGUGAUACACUUUCAAAGAGUCGGAUUGUUUGGGAAUGCAGUCCAAAAUGGGUGGUAAAUUUCAUCUAAAGCUAAAUAUUGGCGAGAGACCGAUAGCGAACAAGUACCGUGAGGGAAAGAUGAAAAGAACUUUGAAAAGAGAGUUAAACAGUACGUGAAAUUGUCAAAAGGGAAGCGUUUGACACCAGUGUUGUUUUCUCGAAAAUCAAUUAAAAAGAGUUGGAUUUUGUGUUGUAUUGACCUUAACAGCUUGCUUCACUCUUUUCCUGCUUUUUUUAAUGCACUUUUCGUUUAACAAGUCAACAUCAGUUUCUUUUGUUGUAAAAGGGUCAUUGGAAGGUGGCUUUCUCUUCGGAGAAAGUGUUUAUAGCCUUUGAUCUCUGCAAUCGGAGAGACUGAGGUCUGCAGCGUAGAUCCUUCGGGGUUAGAUACAUUUGUGCUAAGCUACAGCUUUUCAUAGACAACUUGUUGACUAUGUUUAGUCUUGUGACUUACCCGCUUAUGCUAUUUUACCUACGCUUAGGAUGUUGACAAAAUGGUUUUAAACGACCCGUCUUGAACACAGGAAAACA
rnacentral:rRNA from 1 species